GCAAUGGUUAGGCCAGGUGCAGAUGGCUCA
rnacentral:piRNA from 1 species